UGUCGCGGGAAUAUCGUGUGGCCCGAGGGCACUUGGCAAUCGUGUUAUACAUGCGGAGACCGUGUUUAGCAUGUGCAUACUAGGUAGACGGGACGGCCGAUAGCAGCUCCUGAUUAUCAAGACGCCAGGGCCGGUGUAAUUAAUAGUUUAUGGGCUCCGCAGAGAAUUAUCAUUCAUAACCUCGUCGCGCGUGACGAGAAUACACAGAGGAGCAGGGAGACGCUCAAUGCUACGGUUUUAGGCGAUAUCAAAAGCAUGGCGCUAAAUCGUAGCGGCGAGUCCGGGAGUGGAAUUUUAUUAUCAUCGUCUGCGUCGACAAUGCAUAUCCCGUCGUAGCCGAGCUGAACGUGAAACUUGGCGGACAGACGUUCCCCGCUACUUACCGCUGGUUCCGACAGCAAUCCUUCGAACGAAGCCGCUCAUCAGCCAACACCUCGUGCCUGCCUGCACUGAGGAGUGCAGCGGUGCCGUGCUGACUUCCAGCAAUGUCCAAACAAUAUAGUGCCGAGCGGAACUGUGUGCAGAACAGUAAGCUCUAGUGAGAAUUAUCCCGGAACUGUUUGAAACUCGAUGGAAAACAACACUGGAAGCUGGCACAACAUGCCUGCCUGCACUGAAGCGUAUGAUGUCACCAGCAUCGUCAAUAGAUACGAAUACGUAAAUAAACUCGCAUCUCUCAGGAGCCAAGUGAAUCAAGUCUAUACGUAGACCUAUAAGCAAGUAGGUAUCCAACUAUCCAGAAGAGUACUAUCGUAACCCCUCCAGGCUUAAGGUAGACAACAGAGCAACGAAGCUGGAGAAAAGUGAAGGAAGAUGACGGCGAAGAAGAAAAAAGGAAGAAUUCACGAGGAAGAGAGUUCAUCGUAGCAGGAAAGGAGAUAUCAAAGCUAACAGUUCAUCUCAGCAACGGAUUCACGUCCAAUUCAGUAUACAGAUUAAUACCCGAGUUAACGAUCGUGCACGCGACGUUCGAAAUGGUUUUAACGUCUCCGUAGGACCGGCUGGACCAAACGCGUUGAGGGAGUUUCGCUAUCGUCCAAUCACGGGCAACGUGCUGAUAUCCUCUUGAUGACCAUCAGUCGCUUCAAUGCUUGGAUAAAAUCUUCAAACACGCCCGUUUUACGAGCCCACGUUGUACCUAUAAUUCAUAGACGAUAUAUCUAGUCGCAAAGCUGUCUAACCCUAGGAAUGCGCCUAGUACCUUCAGCAAUCUUGAAUGUCAGCCAUUUCCUUGAAAUGAGCAUCACAAGCCGCAGCGAGGCAUCCGAACAAAAGGAUCGGAUCCGAGACCUCGCAGAUCUUCCCAAUCACACGGUAGAGUGAGAUCGCUAAAAAUUAAGAUGGCUCCUGCAGUAACGAGUUAACUGAAUAUCCAAUGAGAUACAGAGACGACAGAAGGAUGCUGUAUCAGUCAAAUCGAAUUAACAAGGAUCUUUUGUUAUUCUAAUAUCCGUAGCGGUAGCAACAUGUCCCAAGGCAGUUGACAUUUACGUAGCACGAAUGUGUACGAAGCCAGAGGGUCAGUCACGCCCUCUCAUAAUAGAAGUACAGUAUAUAAUACAGUAGGUACCUAGAUACGUAGGUCGGUAAGUCAGAUACUUAUAGAACGUAGAGAUCGAGAGACCAAGCCAGCGAUACACCGAGGUCGAUCAGCAACUUCAGUCUGGAAGAACGAGGACGCGUGGACUGAAGAAGCUCUCGAAGAUGAUGUUAAUAAUGGCGGCUGGCUUCCACUCGCCAUUCCCCUUUCUCGACUCUCACCUUCUUCAUCAUCCUUCAACAUUGCGCACCCUGUGUGGCCGCUGACAAUCAUCGAGUCUCCGUUAAGUACGCUCACGACAUGAUACGUAGCAGAGGUUAAGGAACUUUUAAUACCGCGUCAAUCAAGUCUCUCGCUAACUCGCAGUAGCGUGGGUCGACAGGCGGGCUUGUUUGAAUUUGCAAUUCCGCCAAUAGCUCGCACUAGCCGUAGAUAGUCUGACUGCAGUUGCUGGAUGGCCAACUUUGUUCUUGAGUGUACCCAGUGUACCGUAUCUACGCAGGUAUAUCGGUACUUGUAAUGAGAGACGCCAUGGAAGGGGUCGAUGAAAAGAUGGAGGUAGUGUAGGUAGAUGUGACACGAGACGAAGAUUCACGAAGGUCGAGAAAUUAUCGUUAUCGCCAUCGUGUCGCCGUUGUAAAUGCAUACGAAAAUGCAACCAGGAUAAAGGAGAUUCGCGGGCUGAUAUAGAGAGGGAACUUGGGUAAAAUUAUUAGCCGUGUCUAGUUGGAGGUCGUAAUGUUUUGUGAGGAGGCAUGUAAGUAGGACCUAUCAGCAUAAAUAUGAAGACCUCCCAUAUGAGGUAGCACAAGCCCUCGGGCAACAUGAGGUCGUCGGUAGGCUGCUACAGUUAUGUCACGUCCCCACCUACUCUUACGAUACAUUUUUCUACUGGAAUAUAUUAAAUAGUUAAUAGGGUACCCAUAUCUAUGUACUUUGCGAUACGAGAUCCCAUAUCUAUAGACUGUCUACCGCUUUGUAUUAAACAUACUAAGAAGGCUUAAUUGUGUCCCGUGGGACCUUGAUAGAGCUACCGUUCUUGAUAAUGCGUCGGACAGCAUCCCGCAGGGCUAAUCGUUAUGACAGAUGCGCGUGCAAACGGCUAGUAUGGCUGUCAUCGCAGAAAUCACGCGAUUUCAUUAAAGAACCCAAGCCGUGGUAUACAUGUCCUUACGAUAAAUUAGCAAUAUACACACUGUACACGCGAGAGUAACCACGUCGUCAGGCAAAUCGUAUGAAAGGCAAGGAAAGGCGGUAACGUCCGGGCGACACGCAGCAUCACGGGGAUAGGUUUACACAGGCCUUCUAGCCUACGCAGAAGCAUCGACUACGCAGUAGAGCUCCUGCCAAUCCUAUCCUAUACGGGUAUUUCAAUAUCGUAUAUUAUUAAUAACAUAUAAGAGCUAUAGUAUGUGAGCGGGUACCAGCAUGUCUUCCUGCUACCAACCUAUGCUCUCGUAGGCUUAACAUCUGCAUCACGAUGUCAUGAUAUCACGCUACGCGUACACGCGUACAUACAGUCAAAUGCGGACGAGCCUUACGUAGUAUAGAAAUUAUGAUAUACUUACUGUACAGUCUUAUUCACCGUUCGAGGGAUCGAUAAGACUACCUGCGUGCUUAGUAUAUCUUUUUACAUAUUAGCCUCUAUACUUACAUACUCAGUACAUAGAUAAUUAGUGAAUUGCUAAGUGAUCUUAGGAGAGGAAUUGUCGGUAGAAAUUCAAAGGUUUAUUUUUAGAAAUUCAUAUCCCUCACUGUUCCUGUAUGAUCGAUCUUAGAUGUAGGUCUGGCGUGUGUCGCGAAUGCGAAAAUCAUGUAGACACCAGCGCGAAACCACUUUAGGGACAAAGGAAGCGCCCGAGGUGCAGGGUCGGCAGGUAUAUGAAUUUAAAAUUGUCCUGUAUGAUCGUCCGAGCUGUAAUCGCGUUGCCGUCGUCGAAGACUCUGCUGGUAGCAUCUGGAGAUAGUAUGUGGCCGUGACAAAUGUGAUCUACGUUCGCGUAGCAUACUCAUCGAAAAAUCUUAAGGGGUCUGCUGUAGGUAGCAAGGGAUACGAACAGUUCACGUCAUUGAACCAGAAGAAUCUAUGACAGGGAUAAUUAAUAAAAAAUUGAAGAUACUCAUGGAGUAAUUACAAUUAAUUAAUAGGUACUGGAUAAUCAUACAUAUAGUCAAUUUCACUUAUGGUUAUUAAUCUUUAUUUAUCUUUAUUUCAUUUUCGCGUCAGUCUGAAAUAUGCAUUGGAUCUCACUGUAUGCACCGUUCGGAAACAGUAUAUGUAGUAGUAUAGCACGUGU